ACGGGAGGCAGCAGUGGGGAAUAUUGCACAAUGGAGGAAACUCUGAUGUAGCGACGCCGCGUGAGUGAUGAAGUAUCUCGGUAUGUAAAGCUCUAUCAGCAGGGAAGAUAAUGACGGUACCUGACUAAGAAGCACCGGCUAAAUACGUGCCAGCAGCCGCGGUAAUACGUAUGGUGCAAGCGUUAUCCGGAUUUACUGGGUGUAAAGGGAGCGUAGGUGGUUUGGCAAGCCAGAAGUGAAAACCCGGGGCUCAACUCUGUGGAUUGCUUUUGGAACUGUUGAACUAGAGUGCAGGAGGGGUAAGCGGAAUUCCCAGUGUAGCGGUGAAAUGCGUAGAUAUUGGGAGGAACACCAGUGGCGAAGGCGGCUUACUGGAAUGCAACUGACACUGAGGCUCGAAAGCGUGGGGAGCAAACAGGAUUAGAUACCCUGGUA
rnacentral:rRNA from 1 species